rnacentral:rRNA from 1 species
UACAGAGGUGGCAAGCGUUGUUCGGAAUUACUGGGCGUAAAGGGCGAGUAGGCGGCCUUCUAAGUCAGACGUGAAAUCCCCCGGCUUAACCUGGGAACUGCGUCUGAUACUGGGAGGCUUGAGUAUGGGAGAGGGAUGUAGAAUUCCAGGUGUAGCGGUGAAAUGCGUAGAUAUCUGGAGGAACACCGGUGGCGAAGGCGGCAUCCUGGACCGACACUGACGCUGAGGAGCGAAAGCCAGGGGAGCAAACGGG